AGUGAACGCUGGCGGUAGGCCUAACACAUGCAAGUCGAACGGCAGCACAGGAGAGCUUGCUCUCUAGGUGGCGAGUGGCGGACGGGUGAGGAAUACAUCGGAAUCUGCCCAGUCGUGGGGGAUAACGUAGGGAAACUUACGCUAAUACCGCAUACGACCUUCGGGUGAAAGAGGGGGAUCGCAAGACCUCUCGCGAUUGGAUGAGCCGAUGUCGGAUUAGCUAGUUAGCGGGGUAAUGGCCCACCAAGGCGACGAUCCGUAGCUGGUCUGAGAGGAUGAUCGGCCACAGUGGAAAUGAGACACGGUCCAGACCCCUAGGGGAGGAGGCAGUGGGGAAUAUUGGAAAAUGGGGGCAAGCCUGACCCAGCCAUACCGGGGGGGGAAAGAAGGCCUUCGGGUUGAAAAGCCCUUUUUUGGGGAAAAAAAUUUUUCAGGCUAAAACCGUGGGGGGAGGAGGGACCCAAAAAAAAAAGCACCGCCAAAUUUCGG
rnacentral:rRNA from 1 species